GAUGAACGCUGGCGGCGUGCCUAAUACAUGCAAGUCGAGCGAACAGACGAGGAGCUUGCUCCUUUGACGUUAGCGGCGGACGGGUGAGUGACACGUGGGUAACCUACCUAUAAGACUGGGAUAACUUCGGGAAAUCGGAGCUAAUACCGGAUAAUAUUUCGAACCGCAUGGUUCGAUAGUGAAAGAUGGCUUUGCUAUCACUUAUAGAUGGACCUGCGCCGUAUUAGCUAGUUGGUAAGGUAACGGCUUACCAAGGCAACGAUACGUAGCCGACCUGAGAGGGUGAUCGGCCACACUGGAACUGAGACACGGUCCAGACUCCUACGGGAGGCAGCAGUAGGGAAUCUUCCGCAAUGGGCGAAAGCCUGACGGAGCAACGCCGCGUGAGUGAUGAAGGUCUUCGGAUCGUAAAACUCUGUUAUUAGGGAAGAACAAACGUGUAAGUAACUGUGCACGUCUUGACGGUACCUAAUCAGAAAGCCACGGCUAACUACGUGCCAGCAGCCGCGGUAAUACGUAGGUGGCAAGCGUUAUCCGGAAUUAUUGGGCGUAAAGCGCGCGUAGGCGGUUUUUUAAGUCUGAUGUGAAAGCCCACGGCUCAACCGUGGAGGGUCAUUGGAAACUGGAAAACUUGAGUGCAGAAGAGGAAAGUGGAAUUCCAUGUGUAGCGGUGAAAUGCGCAGAGAUAUGGAGGAACACCAGUGGCGAAGGCGACUUUCUGGUCUGUAACUGACGCUGAUGUGCGAAAGCGUGGGGAUCAAACAGGAUUAGAUACCCUGGUAGUCCACGCCGUAAACGAUGAGUGCUAAGUGUUAGGGGGUUUCCGCCCCUUAGUGCUGCAGCUAACGCAUUAAGCACUCCGCCUGGGGAGUACGACCGCAAGGUUGAAACUCAAAGGAAUUGACGGGGACCCGCACAAGCGGUGGAGCAUGUGGUUUAAUUCGAAGCAACGCGAAGAACCUUACCAAAUCUUGACAUCCUUUGACCCUUCUAGAGAUAGAAGCUUCCCCUUCGGGGGACAAAGUGACAGGUGGUGCAUGGUUGUCGUCAGCUCGUGUCGUGAGAUGUUGGGUUAAGUCCCGCAACGAGCGCAACCCUUAAGCUUAGUUGCCAUCAUUAAGUUGGGCACUCUAAGUUGACUGCCGGUGACAAACCGGAGGAAGGUGGGGAUGACGUCAAAUCAUCAUGCCCCUUAUGAUUUGGGCUACACACGUGCUACAAUGGACAAUACAAAGGGCAGCGAAACCGCGAGGUCAAGCAAAUCCCAUAAAGUUGUUCUCAGUUCGGAUUGUAGUCUGCAACUCGACUACAUGAAGCUGGAAUCGCUAGUAAUCGUAGAUCAGCAUGCUACGGUGAAUACGUUCCCGGGUCUUGUACACACCGCCCGUCACACCACGAGAGUUUGUAACACCCGAAGCCGGUGGAGUAACCAUUUGGAGCUAGCCGUCGAAGGUGGGACAAAUGAUUGGGGUGAAGUCGUAACAAGGUAGCCGUAUCGGAAGG
rnacentral:rRNA from 1 species